rnacentral:rRNA from 1 species
UACGAAGGGGGCUAGCGUUGCUCGGAAUCACUGGGCGUAAAGCGCACGUAGGCGGCUUGUUAAGUCAGGGGUGAAAUCCUGGAGCUCAACUCCAGAACUGCCUUUGAUACUGGGAGCCUUGAGUUCGGGAGAGGUGAGUGGAACUGCGAGUGUAGAGGUGAAAUUCGUAGAUAUUCGCAAGAACACCAGUGGCGAAGGCGGCUCACUGGCCCGAUACUGACGCUGAGGUGCGAAAGCGUGGGGAGCAAACAGG